GAUGAACGCUGGCGGCGUGCCUAAUACAUGCAAGUCGAGCGAACGGACGAGAAGCUUGCUUUUCUGAUGUUAGCGGCGGACGGGUGAGUAACACGUGGAUAACCUACCUAUAAGACUGGGAUAACUUCGGGAAACCGGAGCUAAUACCGGAUAAUAUUUUGAACCGCAUGGUUCAAAAGUGAAAGACGGUCUUGCUGUCACUUAUAGAUGGAUCCGCGCUGCAUUAGCUAGUUGGUAAGGUAACGGCUUACCAAGGCAACGAUGCAUAGCCGACCUGAGAGGGUGAUCGGCCACACUGGAACUGAGACACGGUCCAGACUCCUACGGGAGGCAGCAGUAGGGAAUCUUCCGCAAUGGGCGAUAGCCUGACGGAGCAACGCCGCGUGAGUGAUGAAGGUCUUCGGAUCGUAAAACUCUGUUAUUAGGGAAGAACAUAUGUGUAAGUAACUGUGCACAUCUUGACGGUACCUAAUCAGAAAGCCACGGCUAACUACGUG
rnacentral:rRNA from 1 species